rnacentral:rRNA from 1 species
AAAGGGUGGUAAUGCCGGAUGUUCCACAUGAUCGCAUGUGAUUGUGGGAAAGAUUCUAUCGGCGUGGGAUGGGGUCGCGUCCUAUCAGCUUGUUGGUGAGGUAACGGCUCACCAAGGCUUCGACGGGUAGCCGGCCUGAGAGGGCGACCGGCCACAUUGGGACUGAGAUACGGCCCAGACUCCUACGGGAGGCAGCAGUGGGGAAUAUUGCACAAUGGGCGCAAGCCUGAUGCAGCGACGCCGCGUGAGGGAUGGAGGCCUUCGGGUUGUAAACCUCUUUUGUUUGGGAGCAAGCCUUCGGGUGAGUGUACCUUUCGAAUAAGCGCCGGCUAACUACGUGCCAGCAGCCGCGGUAAUACGUAGGGCGCAAGCGUUAUCCGGAUUUAUUGGGCGUAAAGGGCUCGUAGGCGGCUCGUCGCGUCCGGUGUGAAAGUCCAUCGCUUAACGGUGGAUCUGCGCCGGGUACGGGCGGGCUGGAGUGCGGUAGGGGAGACUGGAAUUCCCGGUGUAACGGUGGAAUGUGUAGAUAUCGGAAAAGAACACCAAGC